rnacentral:rRNA from 1 species
AAGAGUUUGAUCCUGGCUCAGAAUGAACGCUGGCGGCAUGGAUUAGGCAUGCAAGUCGAACGGAAACGGAGGAGUGCUUGCACUCCAGACGUCGAGUGGCGAAAGGGUGAGUAACGCGUGAGCAACCUGCCCCAAGGUCCGGGAUAGCCCCGCGAAAGCGGGAUUAAUACCGGAUGUGGCCUUCCGACGCAGGCCGGAACAGCUAAAGAUUUAUUGCCUUGGGAUGGGCUCGCGUCCGAUUAGCUAGUUGGUGAGGUAAUGGCUCACCAAGGCUGCGACCGGUAGCUGGUCUGAGAGGAUGGUCAGCCACACUGGGACUGAGACACUGCCCAGACUCCUACGGGAGGCUGCAGUCGAGAAUCUUCCGCAAUGCGCGAAAGCGUGACGGAGCAAUGCCGCGUGAGGGAUGAAGGCUUUCGGGUCGUAAACCUCUGUCACCCGGGAUGAAUUUUGACAGUACCGGGAGAGGAAGCCACGGCUAACUACGUGCCAGCAGCCGCGGUAAUACGUAGGUGGCGAGCGUUAUUCGGAUUUAUUGGGCGUAAAGGGUCCGUAGGGGGUUGGUUAAGUCUGAUGUGAAAGCCCACGGCUCAACCGUGGAACUGCAUUGGAACUGGCCGACUAGAGCAUCGGAGAGGAGAGUGGAAUUCCUGGUGUAGCGGUGGAAUGCGUAGAUAUCAGGAGGAACACCGAUGGCGAAGGCAGCUCUCUGGACGAUUGCUGACCCUGAGGGACGAAAGCUAGGGCAGCGAACAGGAUUAGAUACCCUGGUAGUCCUAGCCGUAAACGUUGUACACUAGGUGUGGGGGGAUUUGGUCCCCUCCGCGCCCCAGCUAACGCGGUAAGUGUACCGCCUGGGGAGUACGGCGGCAACGCUAAAACUCAAAGGAAUUGACGGGGGCCCGCACAAGCGGUGGAGCAUGUGGCUUAAUUCGAGGCAACGCGAAGAACCUUACCUGGGUUUGACAUAUACCGGAUCGCCCGCGAAAUCGG